CCGAAGGUCGAUAAAUAAAUAUGAAAACUAACUCCAUCGAAAUCUCAUUUCAAAAAUCUCUUAUAAAAUCUCAAAUCGACGAAUAGCAAUAUAAUAUAAGUAGUAUAAUUCCGGAAAUCACGUCGGAAAAAUAAUUCGUCGAAAUUCAACAUAAAUUAUAAACUCGAAUCCGAGCAUAACAAAUUAAUAUCUGAAAUUCACAACCGGUAUAAAUCAUAAUUACUUCAUGAAAAUCAUUAUUGAAAGCAAAUCCACGAGAUAAAUCGAAAUCAAAUUCCGAAAUCAAUUCAUAUGCUCGGAAAAUAAUAUGUUAAUUAAAUAAAGCAUUAAUUCAAGAAAAUAAACGCAUGCAUCAUUAUUUAAAACAAGAGUCCACUCACAGUACUAUUGGGCGACCACGCAAAUGAGUUCCUUCAUUUAACCGUAGCUCGCG
rnacentral:lncRNA from 1 species